AAUUUGAUAUUGUCAAAAUGAAUAUAUUUUAUUUUUUUAUUUGCUUAUAUGGUAUUAAAAUUAAUUUUUGUAAUUUCUUUUAAAGACAGAUAAUAUACUAUAUGUUUCGUUUAUUUUAUUUAAAAAUAAAUAUAAUUAAAAAUAUAAAUUAAUUAUGAUUCGAAUUUAGAAUCUUAAAUAUUAAUCAUCAAAUUUUUAAUCACU
rnacentral:lncRNA from 1 species